UCCUUCUCUGCCUCUCUUCUCUUUUUCCCUGCCGUGCGGUGCAUUGCUGAAACCAAAAACUUAUUCAAUUCUAAAUCAAACACUUGGAGAAAUCCCAGUGAACUAUUGUCUCUUCUCGUUUUCUCUCUUUCUCCACAAGGACGCCGAUCUGAUGUAAUAAAGCUCUCGAUAUAUAUAUAAUGGGUUUGGUGUAUUCUCUUUUUUUUUUUCAGAAAAGUAAAAGAAAAAUCGAAAGAAAUCCAGAAUUCCAAGAGUAGUGGAGAAUUAUUUUACACCUCAAAUUACUUGAGAAAUUUAAUCUACACCAACAUACUUACUAUACAUACAAGUACCUACUUUAACUACUCCUUAACCACCCACUAAUUUCUUCUCUCUAUAUAAAAUAUUGAGACGCCAGUCAGUCAAUUAAUAUUCUUUUCGAUUAGUCAACUUUCUUGAAUACAUUUUACACCAGUUAUCAAUCAAUAUUCUUCUAUAAUAUCUUCUAAGUUUCUAUUCAACCCCACAGAAUUAUACUAUGUCAAGUAUGUUGAGUUCACAAGGCUUUGUAUUGGCGACAGCCAUGGCGGUCUCUGCCGGCACCGUGAUUUUAUUCGAUCUUUUCCGGGUCAAGUACUUCCCGUCGAUCCAUCUUUCCGAUCAACAAGACUACCCACAUGAUGAAAAGCAAAUUCUCAAGUCAUGUUUAUCUUCAGGUACCUACUACUCACUCGCUGUGAAAAUUUAUCUUCAAAUAUUUUCGUAAUCAUACUUUUUUUUAAAUCAAAUUAUGACAAUCUGCCUUCAAAAUUUUUUCAAGUUCCAAAUUUCACUUUCUCUAUAAAACUUCAAAAACUCAAAUGCUCAAGUUUUAAUUUCAAAAUCCAUGAUCAAAUCUUGAUUUUCUUGUUUAAUUUAAUCUAACGUUUAUUUAGCUGGGAAGAACAAGGAGAGAGCAAGGAAGAAAAAGAAGAGAGUACAUUUUGCAGCUGAUGUGAAAAGUUCAAGCGGGAAUGGGGAGGAAUACAGAAGAAAACAGAUGAAGAAAUGUACAGAAAGCAAAAUUAAUUCAUGUGGGAAUGAGAUUAUGGGGAUGCCAGGUAAUAGGGUGGCUUUGUAUACUGGGAUUCUCAAGGAUCGGGUUCAAAGAAUGGGAUUCUCCUAUUGAUUAAUUUGUAUUUUCGUCUUCGUCUUCGUCUUCGUCUUCGUCUUCUUGCAAUGCAAAAUCCGAGGAAUUAGUGACAAGAAAUUUUACAGGUUUAGCUGGAACGUGUAAAUAAUAUUGUGUGAACAUAUUUUCUGGAAUCUAUAUUCAGUUCAUGAAAUUAGGAACUCCUUUCUUACUUGGUAUAUUUAUCUGGAAUCUUUUUUUUUUUCCUGAGAAAUGGAAUCUUCAGUUAGUGGUUAUUUUGUACUUUAGUUUUGUUCAACUCCAUUUGGUUAGCAAACAAAAAUAAAAAUGAAUAGAAUAACAAUAAUAAUUCCUCCCAGGUCCUUAAUUAAAGAAAGGGGAUAAGUGAGUAUUAUUAAGUUAAAAAAAAUAAAGUAUAACUGUAUUAGUUGUUUCAAUAACUACCAAAAUUAUUAAAUAACUUUGCAAAGUUGUUUGAAGCAAAAAUGUUUUAAAAAAAAACUGAAAAUUUUUUAAUCCCUUUUACCUUAUUUUUAAAAUUUGAAAGACCUUCACUUAAUUGAAAAAUUUGUUUGUCCCUUUCAAUUCAAGGUCCCAUAAUUAAGAGUGCAUUUGGAUUUGAGAUGAAAUUGAAAGAAUUAUUAUAUGGAGUUAAAAGAUGAAAUAAAUUGUGAAACUAACGCUAAAGUGAUUAACGGCAAAGAGGAAAGCCUCCGUCGGUGUGUUGAUUAAGAGAUAUAUGUACGAUUUAUUAAUCUACCUUCAUGAAAAUAAUUUUAUUUUUUAAAACUAAUUUAUCACUUAAUAUUUAAAAUUUAUAGUGAAAUUUAAUUAAAUCUGAAUUGACACAUGUAAAAGAUUUUUAAUUGAAUUUAAUGCAUAUUAUAGUUCACAACACAUCAUAAUUGGCAUCAAUAUGAUGAGAUACUUAAAAUUUUCUUACUUUUGAAUGACUUGUGCAUAAGGACUAAAUUUCACAUAUAUCUUAUGUGUUAUCUAAUUGAACUUGUAUUUUAAGUAUUUUGCAUUGAUAUUGCUCAACAUAAAACAUUAAGUUCACAUUAACUUUUCGACUUCUUUAUAUUGUUCGAGUUCAUAUAUAUUCGUUUUUAUAUAAUCAUUUGUCUUGUGGUUCAUUUCCAAAAGAAAAAUUAUUUAACGAGUUUUAAGAGUUAUGUUGCAAGAUAUAUAUUUUAAAGCUAAUAAAUAUAUCAACGUUGUAUUUUAAUUUACAGAUUUAGAAUUAUAAUUGUGCAAAUUAUUGAAUAAAAAAUUAACAAUAACAAUUAGGAUGGGAACAAUACUUAACAUCAUAAUAAAAAACUUGCAUAAAGAAAGAUAACAAAUCAAAUCUGACAGAUUUGUAAAGAGAUGGGUAUGGAACGGAAUAUUCUAUACUUUUUUUGAAAUGAUCAUUGACUUAAACUAUUCACUCUAUUGCUUUUGUCGUAUUUCAUCACUCUAUAUUUGACUUUAAUUUUCAUUGCAUUUAAAUUUAAUCACUGUGUACUAUUGCAACAUCUUAACAAUUGUAUGUUUAACAAUUGAUAUCAGAGCAAUUGUGGUGCUUUCUUAAGAAUAUUAUGCUCUGAUACCAAUUAAUAUAUAUAUUAUCAUUAUAUAGAAAUAUGAUCAAAGGAACGACCAAGGAUAUUUUAGGUAUUUCAUAAUUUAUUUCUUUUAAAUAAAAUCAAAAGUAAGUUGCUAUUUGUGCAAUUGUUCAAAUAUUUUAGAUAUUUUUAUUUUUCUCUGCCACAUAUAAAAUAAUAUUCAAUUAUCUGUCUACCAUUAACACCACAAAUGCAAUGAAAGACUUUUCUAGAAGACAUAAUUUCUAGACUUGAAUUGAAUAAAUAAGAGCAUCCUUUUAACUAUAUUCAGUUGUUAGUUCAAUCCUCUUCAAUAAACCUCAUAGGUACGUUUCUCGAUUUUAUUAUUUUCUUCAUAAUUCAUUUUCAAUCUUUUUCUAUUUUCGUAGAUAUUAUUUUUUUGUGGUGUUAUAAGUUGGAAAGUGGAUUCUUGAAUUGAAUAUUUUCUUUCUAGUUUAUUCUACUAAUUUCUUUGUGGUAUUAGAAGGCAUAAUAUGAGAUUCUUGAAUACCGAUUUAUAUAAUUUUUUUUUACUUAUUUUUCUAUUGUUACAAGUUGAAAUGUGGGAUUCUUAAAUAUCAUUUUUUUAAAAAAAUUAUUCUUCUCAUUUAUGUGUGUUGUUAGAUGUUAGAACAUGAGAUUUUUGAAUGCCCUUUUAAUUUAUUUUUUGGGGGGCUUAUUUUGGUGAUUUUUGUGUGUCUUUUAUUAUUAGAAUAUGAGAUUAUUGAAUACCCAUUUUGUGUUUUUGUUGAAAUUCAAUUAAAUCUGAAUUGACGCAUAUAAAAGAUUCUCAAUUGAAUUUAAUGUGUACUAUAGUUCACAACACAUCAUAAUUGACACCUAUAUGAUGAAUGUCAUUCUCAUUAAUCUUCUGAAUGUUUUGAAUAAUUAAUGGAGAUACUUGAAUUUUUUUUUGCUUUUGGAUGACUUGUGCAUAAAGUCUAACUUUCACAUAUGUCUCAUGUGUUACCUAAUUGAACUUGUAUUUCAAAUAUUUUGCAUUGAUAUAGCUCAACAUGAAUUCUUUAGAUUGUUGAAUUUGUUUUCAAACCCCUAGCUUAUUUACUUUAGAGACAUACGUAAGGUUCACGUAUAUUCAACCCUUUCAAAAAAAAAAUUGAGAUAACAUUGACUAUAUUAUUGUUGUUGUUUGGUAGUAGUAGUAUAAUUCACAUCACCUUUCCGACUUCUUCAUAUUGUUCGAGUUCAUGUAUAUUCGUUUUUAUAUAAUCAUUUGCAUUGUGGUUCAUUUCAAAAAAAAAAAAACUAUUUAACUAGUUUUAAGAGUUAUGUCGCAAGAUAUAUAUAUUUUAAAACUUAAUAAAUAUAUAAACAUUGUAUUUUAAUUUACAGAUUUAGAAUCAUAGUUGUGCAAAUUAUUGAACAAAAAAUUAACAAUAGCAGUUAGGAUGGGAACAAUACUUCACAUCACAAUAAAGAACAUACAUAAUGAAAGAUAAUAAAUCAAAUCUGACAAAUUUGUAAAGAGGUGGGCAUGGGACAAGAUGUUCUAUGCUUUUUUUCGAAAUGAUCAUUGACUCAAAUUAUUCACUCUGUUACUGUAACGUCUUGAGUCUGUACUCCGAAUGCUACACGGUGCUUACGACCCCGAAGGACCACAAUCUAACCCAUGACUGAUAUCUGCUGUGAGCACUGAAUAAUAAUAAUGAAAAUAAUACGGAAAAUAGGCUGAAUUGCCAGAAGGUUCAAAAUUUUAAAUAUUGGUAAAUAAUAACAUCUGAUAAAACAUCUGAAUCUAAGGUACUGUCUGAAUUAGUCUAGUCUGAAAAGCCUCUAACUGAACUGUCUAAAUGUGGAGUUGAUGGGACAAGCCCCAAACUAACUCCAACUAUUGAAAUACUGCUAAACUGAAAUACUGAAAUAAAAAUAUAUCCUCGAUAGAUAAGGACUCACUACUGCAAUUUGAUACUGCUGACUUAAUCUGGCUAAACGCGGUCAGAAUCCUGAGCGUUCGAAUUUAUGAUAUGAGACAUCAUAACACAAGAGAAAGUAUACGUCAGUACGUGGAAUUUACUGAUAUGAUAGAUGAGGUAAGACUAAAUACAGGGGUUUAUAUGCAUGAACAAUAACUGACUGAAUGAUAUAGAGUAACUGAAUAGGAGAACACAUAGAUAACUGAAACUGUGUAAAUAUUGAGUAUGCAAUACUAUACAUACAUGUGUAUACUAUAUCUGAGCUUAAACUGAAGCUGAGUACUGAGUUCUGAUAAUAAGUAAUAGAUAAAUCUGAGAUUACUGAUAAUUAUAUUACUCAUAACUGAGUGACUGUAUCUGAUAGUCCUGAUUCUGUAAACUAAAUUGAGUUCUGUACUGAGACUAAAACUGAGACUGUAGGAGAAAUUGUAGGAAGUAAUCAUCUAACCGACAUGCCCCAAAUAAGAUAACUGGGGUCCAACCUGUAACCCUAAUUAGAAGAGUGUUAGUACCGUACCACGGGUAAAGACAAGCUGAAGAGUUACCCUCAUCUGCGAGGUACUCUAAUGAGAAUGGUGGAACUCUCAACUGGCAGGUUAAAACACCUCAUCAACCCUUAAUUGGCAGGUUGAUGUCUCAACCUAUGCUGGCUACGUAGUUCUGGAACGCAAGAACUGCUUCUAAGGAUCACACCCUUUUCUGGUAAGUAAGCCCCCGUCCUUGAGUUCACUCGGUGCUGAAUCCUACUCCCAACUGAAUAGACACUGAACUGAUUAUACUGAGCUGAACUAGACUAAUACAGAGUUUCACUGAGUUCUAUAACUGACUGAGUACUACUAAUCGUGACACUACUGAAACUAUUCUGUAACUACUGUAGCUCUAGGUAAACAACUAGAUUUUCAGGUAUUGAAUACCCCCAGGACAUGAUCUUGAAAAACAUAACAAUAGAUACUUGUUGAUAAUAUAUUCACCUAGGCAUUUAGUCAAACACUUGGGAUAUAUGAACUUGUACAUGAAUGGGGCUAUAUAAUGUGUCAUGAUUCCACUAUUCAAUUCACAUGAGCAUUUUAUCAAACACUUGUGGAUCAUGGAUUAUUCCACAUGAUACUGGUCAACACAUGAACAUCAUGAAUAUCAUAGUCAAUUGUAAAUUCAAGGGUUUAUCAUGCAAUUCAUAUAAUUCAUCACACAAACCAUUUUAAUUUCAUGAGACCUACAAUUAAAUCAUGAAUUGAAACCCAAUUACUAUCAUGAACGUGAAUACAAUUAAUUACAAGUAUGAAAAUCAUAAAUCUGAGAUCCCGUAUGUUUAAAAAGGUUUCUUGAACUUCAUGGGUGGAAGUAACCCAUGAAUGAACACCUAACAUACCUGAGAAGAUGAGUUCUUGAAGGAAUUCUUGUGUUUGAUCUUGAUCUUUAAGCUAUGAUUUUGCCCUUUGAAAGAGAAUGUUUUAAUUCUUGAGAGAAAGUGAGUAGUAGUGAGAUAAUAGGUUAUUUAGGGGUUUAAUUUCGUGUUUAUACUGAGUAGGGCCAUGAAAAAUUCCAAAUUACUCCUAGGAAAAUUAAAAAUUUCAUCACUGGAUGCCCGAUUUUGGUCCUCACCAUGACGCGGUGGAAUCGCGGUGAGCCAUUGGAAUGUGGUUGGUACUGUUCAUAAAAGGGAUGAGUGCGAAAAUGACCCUUGGCACAACUCGCCAUGAUCGCGGAGUCACACUAAAAAAGGACAAUUCUGAAUAUGGACAUUGGCGCGACGUACCGUUAUCGCGGAGCUCACUGAAAAAUGUCAAUUUGGAACUGGCACUGCUCCGCAAUGCGGACUUAUUGCGUCGGCUUGCUGGAAACUGACAAUUGCCAUUUGCACCCUCUUCGGGACGAACUGAUUGCCAAAUUGGCACACUAUUUUAUAAAAUAUGCUAUAACUCUUUACCCGGGUAUCAGAUUUAGGCGAAUUUUAUAUUAUUGAAAAGCUUAUUGAAUUUCCUACGCAAUGAUAAGCUCUAAAUUGAAAAAUACUGAAUAUUUAGAAAAAUUUAUAUAGGAUAACUCAUGUACUGAGGGUUAAGUUAAAUUAGAGAAAUACGGGGUAUUACAGUUACUUUUGUCGUAUUUCAUCACUCUAUAUUUGACUUUAAUUUUUAUUGCAUUUAAAUUUCACCACCGUGUAUUAGUGAAACAUCUUAACAAUUGUUGCCAUACCCUAUUUUUAUCUAAGAUCAAAACAAGCACGACAUUAUGGACUCAAAAAGAAUUAAUUUGUCCAGAGUAGCCACCUAAUUUUUAAGGAAAAAUAGAAAACUUAUUUAUUUGUUUAACAAGUAUGACUUUUUUAAAUCUACGAAAUCAAUUUGAGUUCUAGGCACCCUUCAGAAUCCACAAAUGUGGUUCCCUGCCAGACUUAGGUUUAUUAAAAAAGAGAAAGAGAAAAAAUCAAUGUUUGUAAAUAUAAAUAUAAAAUAUGUAUUGAAAUAAUAUAAUGUGUGUGCUAUUGUAAACAAAAAUAUAUAAAUAUGCAUGUAAAGAAAAGAUUGAAUAAAGAAAAAUUGUUCUAAAGAAAAAGACUACGUAAUAUUUUAGUAUAAAAACGUGAAUUAUUUGAUUAGUUAUCUAAAUCAAUUUAAUAUAAAUUUUAACGGCCUAAAUUUGCCUAAACACGUGAUGAGGAUUGCGUAAAGAAUAUCCCGCCCAACAUCCCCAAUUUUUUUUUUCACUAUGAUAAUAUUUGUACAAGUAUAAGAAUAUAAAAAUAUAAUACAAAAUUUAAAGUCUUCUUUGAAGGUCAUUCCCGACGAGUAUUCCCAAUAAUCUGUAUAAAUACUUGUAAUAAAAAUGUUAGUAACAAAUAAAUAAUUAUCAAAAUAAAUUGAAUAGGUAUGUAUAUAUAUAUGUAUUUAAAAUAUAAUUUUUCGUUAAAAGAAUGGGCUUAGAUAAUUUAAAAAAAAAAAAUUGUAAAGAUCUCAUCAUUGCCCAAAAUAUUUAUUUUAUUACGUAUUUGUAUACGUAAUGUCCGUCUUUUAUUUGAAAAGAUCUCAAAAAUCAACGAUUUUUUUUUUCAUCGGACAAAUAUUUAAUACUUGAAAUAACCAAAUUGCGACUAAGAAAAUAAAAUUCACUAGAUCAAUCAAUCCAAAAGAUAAUAAUAUUUAAGUGCUAUGUCUAAAAUCUAUCUUGUACCAGAAAUGAGCAAUACUAACAAUUGUUACUUUUUUUUUUUUUGAAAACAAAUUCGUGGCUUUAUUGCAAAUGAACAAUUGUUACUUACUUUGUUUUAGUUAAUAGCAACAAUCAAAACAUCAACAUGUCAACUAAAGAUAAAUAAUCACCAAUAGCCACAUAAUCUGACUAUGUUAAGAAUACCGAUUCAAUAAAGGCUAAAGAAAAAUUUAAUAAACUAUCCAAAUAAUCAUUAGAAAAAGAAGUAAACUUGAAACAAUUAAUAGUUUGAACAAAAUCUCGAACGGAGCAAACAAUUUAUGUCUAAGAUUUAACAAGUGGUUAGAUCUGAUUGCGUUGUGUUGUUCUCUGGGCUGACAUCGUUUUUGACUGAUCUCGAUGAAAAAAGAGGGGGAAAGGAGGUUGUGGCGUGGUUGUGGGUGUUCGCGAUGGUGGUGCAUGGCGUGGGGGUUGUUGGAUCAUGAUUUUGUGGUCGUUUUGGUGAUGGUGAUGGAUGGACGUUGAUGUUGUUGUUAUGGUGGUUUGGUGGUGAACGAGCUUCGACAGUGAUGGCUUACGCGAAAAAACAGUGGAUGUGGGAGAAUUUUUUGGCUAGAUUUGGCUCGUGUUUCCGGCUAGCAAUGGCGGAAAGGAAUAAAGAGGGAGAUGGGAAGAAAGGAAGAAUGUGGUGGUGGCCGCCGAUCGUCUGUCAAGGUGGCUUACUGAAAUUCGAUUGUGUCGGUAGUGAGAGGAAAAAAGGAGAAGAGGAGAAGAGAAAAGAGAGAUCUGAUGUGUGUGUGUUGGUGUGUGCUUUGUGUAUUUUGUCUAUUUUUAAAGAAGUUUUAAAGAAAGUAAAAGGGAAGUAUUAAAAAUAGAAAAUAUAAAAAUAAAAUUUCAAAUCUACUUUUUCCGAACACAUCCCUUAAAUUAUGGAUAACAGAUAAAGGAAAAGUCAAGUGUCAUAAUGUUGAUAAGAACUUGACUUGACUGAUUUGUUGCUCUAUGCAUUAAUAUAAUUGAUUCGAUUCAACUUUGUGGGUUGUAAUAAAUGUACAAAAAUAUAGGUAUUGAUAUGUAAUUACAAAAAAAAUGUAAAGAAUAUUGAAAUUAUUGAAAUAUAAUUAAUUUAAAAAUACUGUAAAAAAAAUAUGACAUCAUGUCGUGCAUGUGUGCGGAUGAUUGCAAAAUAUUAAAAGCGAUAAUGAAUUGAUAAAAAUUCUAAAAUAAGAAAAAUUAUUAAUAAGUUAUAAAAAAAUAUGACAACUGAUUGAUUAAAAUUCUAAAAUAAGAAUGAUUAUCAACAAUUUGUAAAACAAUUGUGAGAAAAAAAAUUAUAUUUUGUAUCCUUUAAGGAUCAGAAAGUCUGAAGACGUUAAUUUUAAACACGAAAAAUAAAAAUUGUGAUUGUAUGUUUAACAAUUGUUGCUUUCUUAAGAAUAUUACGCUCUGAUACCAACUAAUAUAUAUAUAUAUAUUACCUUAUAUAUAAAUGAAGGUUGGUGUGCUACUAUUUUGUCUUACUUAAAGGGUAUUUUGGAGAAUAAUAUUUUCAAUCAACAAUACAGAAUAUGUGGUAAGUGAAUUUCCACAUGGUGACUCGCAGAAAUCCGAUUGUGUCGGUAGUGAGAGGAAAAGAGGAGAAGAAAAGAGAGAGAUCUGAUGUGUGUGUGUUGUGGUAUGUGUUUUGUCUCUUUUUAAAGAAAGUUUUAAAGAAAGUAAAAGAGAAAUAUUAAAAAUAGAAAAUAAAUAAAUAAAAUAUCAAAUUUACUUUUUUCCAACACAUUUCUUAAAUUAUGGAUAGUAGGUGAAGAAAAAAGUCAAGUGUCAUAAUGAUGACGAAACCUUAAUUUGACUGAUUUAUUGCACUAUGCAUUAAUAUAAUUGAUCCGACUCAACUUUUGCAGAUUGUAAUAAAUGUACAAAAAUAUAGGUAUUGAUAUGUAAUUACAAAAAAAUGUAAAGAAUAUUAAAAUUAUUGAAAUGUAAUUAAUUUGAAAAUACUGUAAAUAAUGUGACGUUAUGUCGUGCACGUGUGCGAAUGAUUGUAAAAUGUUAAAAACGAUAAUGAAUUGAUAAAAAAUUUAAAAUAAAAAAAAUAUUAAUAAAUUAGAACAAAUUAUGACAACAGAUUGAUUAAAAUCCUAAAGUAAGAAUGAUUAUCAACAAUUUGUCAAACAAUUAUGAGCAAAAAAAUAUAUUUUGUGUCCUUUAAGGAUCAUAAGAGCUGAAAACGUUAAUUUUAGAUACGAAGAGCAAAAAUUGUGUGUCAACAAUUGAAUUUUUAACAAUUGAUAUCAGAAUAUAUAUAUAUANNNNNNNNNNNNNNNNNNNNNNNNNNNNNNNNNNNNNNNNNNNNNNNNNNNNNNNNNNNNNNNNNNNNNNNNNNNAAAGCUGGUUUCGACAUGGGUGACUAAUGACAUAACAAAUUUAUCUAAGGUAAUUUGAUCAUUUGCUUCAAAAGUUGAUAACCACUUGCUGAUAUUUAUUAUCUAAGGAUAAUUUGGUCAUUCACUUCAAAAGUUGAUAACCACUUGCUGAUAUUUAUUAUCUAUCAAUCACAAAUUUGCUAUCAAACACUUGACACUCUUUUAACAUUAACAAAUUUUCUACGACACACAUUUCAUGUCAAAUGUUGAAACGUGGCACAAUGUUGGCAUUAACAAAUUUUCUACUAAAUAUAAAUAAUUUUUCUACUAAAUAUAAAUAAAAAUAAAUACUUCUGGCCAAUUCAGGUCUUUAAUAUUAAUGCUUAAUCUGUAAAAGAAAAUCUCAACUCUUGCGAUAUUCUCUCUGUCAGGUAAAGAAAAAAUCUCAAUUCCUGCAAUAUUCUCUCCGUCGGGUAUGUUUACUGAUUUCUAAUAAUCAAUAAUUUGUUGAAUUUUUGAUUUAAAGUAUUUCAUCAGAUAUACAACUUUCAGUGUUGUGAUUAUUGCUUCUUUACUUUCUAAUUGGGGAUUUCCUAUUUUAAUAGUAGAAGAAAGGAAAAUUUCUUAUCUGGAGUUUCAUUUGAAGACAAAACAGACUUUUUAAUCUUUCUCCUUCUGUGAUUCUUUAUUGUGUGUAAUAUAGAUUUUGUUCUACCGUGCAUACAGACUACUCUGUGUUGUGUAAUUGUAAGGUACGUUUUUGGUUAGUAGCUUUCAUAUGAAAUUUAAUUUCAUAUAUAAAUUAAAUUGCUUAUUUGGGGUUUUAUUUGGAAUUUUCUGAAGAAGAAAAUUCAAUUUGGUUAGAUUACCCACUUGGGAUUUCUGUUCACUGUUGAUUUUAAUGGAGGAAGAAGAUCCGAUUUGAUAUCUAGAGUAAGUUGCUUAUUUGGGGUUUUGCUUAGGAUUUUCUGAUUCUAAUUAAAGAAGAAACGUUGAUUUGGUUAGAUUGCUUACUUGAGAUUUCUAUGCGCUUUUGAUUUUAAUGGAAGGAGAAGAAGACCAAUUGGUUUUCCAAUUUCUACAUAGAUUAACCAAUUUUUCUACUUUAUUGAUGAGUUCUCUAUGAAAAUAUUGCUUUGUUGUUUGUUCAUAUUUGUAGAUAUAGAGAUGUCAAAAUAGCAGUGACAGAAAUUUGGAAAAAGCAUGAGCAUACACCGGACUUCCAAAUAAGAAGAAUUUGAACUUUUAUUUAUUUCAACAAACAUUACAUUCAUCUUAUAAAGGCUCUCGGUGAGAUAGCCUUUUCCUACAUACAUUUCUCCUUUGCUAAUUCCAAUUUUUUUAGAAACGGUUACACAUCUGAAUCCGCUCUUAUCUAGAAGUGAAACAAAAAUUAAAUUCCUACGUAACUCUAGAACAUACAAGACAUUAUUAAGUGUCAAGACCUUUCCUGAAGUCAUUUUCAAACAUAUUUUUCCUGUUCCUUCUACCUUUGCAGUAGCGGAGUUAGCCAUGUAGAUCAUUUCUUCUACUUGGGCCGGAGCGAAUGACGAAAACGACUCUUUGUUGGCACAUACAUGGCGGAUGGCACCAGAAUCCAUCCACCAUUCGCGAAUAUUCCCCACCAAGUUGCACACAAAUCAUAGCAUUCUUUGUUGGAUUCAAUCAUAUUUGCUUGAUCCUUUUUCUUGCCUUUCUUCGGAGCACGAUAAUCUGUGGACUUGUGGCCAAUCUUGCCACAAUUGAAGCAUUUUUCCUUGAAUUUCUUCUUGGGUUGAUUGCUUCGUUGUUCAGCUUUCUUUCUUUUCUUAGAAUUGUUUUGGUCAUCUUCUAUAAUAUGUGUUCCAUUAAUUGUAGAAUUCCCUUUAGACCUUCUCUCGGCAGCUUUAUUGUCCUCUUCAAUACCCAGUCGGACAAUAAGAUCUUCGACAGUCAUAUCCUUGAUUUUAUGCUUCAAGUAGUUUUUGAAGUCUUUCCACAAAGGUAGUAGCUUCAACUAUCGCUGCUACUUGAAAUGCAUCAUUCACAAUCAAACCUACAAAAUAGUUUAUGUAAGUAUUAAGAACCUUUUUAAUUUGUUCAAUUAAGGUAUUUUUCAAAGAUAUACCUUCUGCUAGGAGAUCAUGUAUGAUGACUUACAACUCUUGCACUUGAGAGACAACUGAUUUGCCAUCUAUCAUUUUAAAGUCCAGGAACCGUGCAACAAGAAAUUUCUUAAUUUCCGCUCCUCUAUUUUAUAUUUUCGUUCAAGUGUCCCUCAUAAUUACUUCGAUGUCUUAGUUCUACUAUAGAUAUUGUAGAGGUCGUCUUGGAGACCACUCAGAAUAUAAUUCCUGCAAAGGAAAUGUGAAUGUUUCCAAGCUUCUAUAAUUACGAAACGCUCUUUGUCCGAGGUUCCCUCGUGCACCUCAUGAGCGUCUUCGCUAGUGAACCGUUGCAGACACAAAGUGGUGAGGCAAAAGAACAUCUUUUGCUGCCAUCUUCGGGCUUCUCCGCCGGUGCCAUUAUAGGCAGAGCAUUUGUGUGAAUUGAUGUGGCCAUAUUAGUUGCCCCCACAAACGUUGCCGCAUCUUACAUUUGACUAUCGCUUGUCAUUUUUUCUGUCACCACAAGACAAAAAAUACUUAGUAUUUUCAGAAUACUACUUAUAAAGGUAAGCAACUUUAAACUUUUCUUCUUGUUUCUAGUUGACAAUGAAGUUUUUAUGACUUCCAAUUGUCAACCGAAUGAUCUUUAACUUGUGAUGAAGUUUUUAUGACUUCAAAUCACUAGUUAAGUUCAGGCGGAGUAGAAAGUUAAAACUUUAAUCUCCAUAAACAAGCUAUACAGAUUUUGAAACUUGUUUCCUUAAGAUUGUUAUUUCCUUCUACGGGUAUGCAGAAUAUGUAUAUGCAGAACAACAACUUCAACUAGAGUUCAAGUAUAAAUAAGAACACAAUGAAGUAUAUCAAAUACCCCCAACACAAGAUCAAAAUGACCUUUUCAAGAGGUGCAUUUUUUUUUCAAGAAAAUAGAUGAAACAAAAAUGAAUAAGGCUAAGUCGUCCAAAUUCACGGACUUUCCUUAAGGAAAUAAUUUCCCUCACUGUACCUGAGAUUGCGAAUUUUUCCUGCCAGAAUAAAAUAGCCAAACAAACCAACUGUAGCUGUACUUCAAAUAAUUGGAAUAUCGUCGAACUCACUUAACAAAUUAACUAAUCACAUAGAGUAUUUGUAAAGACAAGAAGAAAGUUUAUUACAGAAAAAUUCAUAUCAAAACCUGUGAAUGAAAGCAGGUUUAUAUAGCCUGUGAGAUGCCUCUUCGAAAAGGUGGCAUUGGUUCACUUAAAUAGUGUGAUAUUUCUGAAAAUUCAUGUCUGUUUACCCAAAAAACGUGUCCUUCUCCAAACAGACAUACUAGUUCACGAAACAGUACAUCAAUUUGUUGAACAGACAUAUCAUUUCAUUGACCAAUUGCAUCAGUUCGAAGCAGUGUAUCAUUUUAGAAAAUACUGUUUCGAAAUCUGUAUGCAUGUAUAAAUGGAGGAAUACUGAUGCGUUUUCCUUUUGGCAUUCGAAUUAAAUUUACGUGAAAUAAACUUUGUCAAAAAAAUAUAUCUCAUUGAUCCGAGCGAGCGAUGAUAGUGGCGCAAGACAUUUCUUAUUUCUUGUCUCACUUAGCAUGUGGAGUAAGUGCUUUCUAUUAAAAACACUCCAUAGUUCCCUUCUCCCACCAAUGUGGGAGAAGUAGUGAACUUUCCAAUUUUGGGAUUUCUUCUUUUAAAUUGGUGUCUCCUUUCUUCCACCAUUUUUCUCUCCAUUUUCCAUUCACACUUUUUUCAUACAUAUUGAACCCAACAGGUUUGAGAUAGAAUUAUGGAGUUAGCGAAUGAAAUUAUUUUGGCCACACGACCAAAUACAUGAAAAUUCUUUAUUUAACUAUUAUUUUUUGGUAACAGAUUUUGGUGGAGGGGUCUGGAAGUGUUAGAACAUUCACAUUAAAUAUCAUUAGUCUCACAAAUAUUCAUGAUUCCAGUGUGAAUCUCUAACUUUGUAUAGAUGAAAUGAUGAGAGCAUGUCGUUAAGAAGAAAAUAAAAAGGAAAGGACUCUAAAAUUAUGUGAAAUGUUGUAACGUGUAAUCUAAUUCAUCUCAAAGUAUGUUAAUCAAACAAGACUUCCUUUAUCGUUGACAUUCUCCUUCACGCGUGCCAUUAAUUUCAGGGGGGCUGAAGUUAAGGAAAUGGUAUGGGGCAUCUGACCUCCUUCCAAAAGAUGGAUCCCUUUCAGAAGAAAAUGAGUUUUCUGGUAACUGAAAUUAGUAAUAUUUUCCAUGUAUUCCUGCUUUAACAUAUAAGAUCAACUAUGUAUUUUUUUCCUUUUCCAGAAUGGAAGAAGAUGAAGUCAGGGAUGCAGUUUUAGUUACCGAUGGAGAUAAUGAGAUUGGCCAGGUUCGUAUAUGGUAGCAUUGGAUACCGUACACCGGAAUCUUUAUAAGUAUCAUGUUGUUUACAAUAUGUGCAUCUGGAAGCAAUGAACAUAAUUCAUCUUAUGUCUUCUAAGUUCCACUGGAAUGAUUUCAUAGACUUCAGUCUUAAUUUAAGAGUUCUCCGCCUCAAUGAUUCAAUAUAUAGCUCAAUCUAUAAUCAGUCUCGUUUGACGUAAACUUUACCUAUACAUGAUCUUGAACAGAUGGUUAUAUUGUCUUUGAUAAUCAAAUGAACUCGAAUCAAAGCUCUGGUAAAGGAUAAGCGGGCUAUAAAUGAAAGCUUUUGGUUGGUGGCAUUCUUAUAUAUUUUUUAAGUAUCAUUUAUUUGGUUGUAUUUUAAUACUUAAUCUUCCUAAGCUGCUAUGAAGCCAAUAGUAGGUGAGAAUAUUGAAGAUUUUGUAUAAUCUAAAGUAAUUUAAUUUGUCUCUUUUUUUCAAGGUCUGUUUGUUACAUUAUUUUGUGGUGUAUAACUUACUAUUAUAGUUUAGGAGUACAACAUAUGUGUAAAGAUGGCUCACAAAUACCAUGACAAUAAGUUUAGCUUUCAAAAGUGAGUGGCUAACAAGAUGCGGAUGCACAAGUCUUGUGUGCUUAUGAAAUGACUGUGCCUCUUGGUUUGGUGGAUGAAGUCGCACUUUUUCAUGCCAAGGGUGUUGAGAUUGAAAUUCAGUAGCUAAGUUAAUUUUUUGGAUCUUAUCAUUGGGAGUUGUUGCCAUUAGUAAAUAUCUGAGGCCCACAAAUUAAUGCAUUUAUACAUAUUGGGCUUGUUAUAAUAUUAGUAAGGGAUCGUUUAGUGUGAGGGAUAAGAAAAGAUAAUUUCGAGAUAAUUUUUUAGUAUCAUCUUGUUUGGUUACAAAGUUUGGAAUAACUUAUCCCAGAUACUUCAAUGCCAUAUAAGCUUGGUCAACAGUCAGAGGGGUUUAAAAUAUUAUAUUUUGAUGGGUUGAGGGGUUCAGAUGACAAAUGUAUAAGUUGGAGUUUCCACUUUACAAACCAGACCAAGUACAAGGAUCCACCGAGCUAUUUUGCUUAUUUAUAUUUAUUGUAAUAUAAUAAAUAUCUAAUAUUGCAAAUUGUCGUAUGACAACAUUAACAAAGUUAACUUAUAAAAAAAAUAUGGAAUUUAAUUUAAAUAAUUAAAAGACUUGAUUCAAUAAAGGCAAAAUGACCUUCUGAACCCUGUACUAUGUCGAUUUUGUAAGUUGGACACUUCUACUUACAUGUUUGUUAUCUGGACUCCUGAACCCACUAAAAAGCAACAUUUUAGACCCUUUUUUGGUGAGUGUAAUGCACUCUCCCCCACGCCAGUUGCCACGUCUGCCACGUCAUCUGCCACGUCAUUUAAAAAAAAGUAUUACAUUAAAUUCCAAGUCAUUUUUAAAAUGCUACAUAGUAAAUUAAAUAUUAAAAUUAAUUUAACUAAAUAAAAGAAAUUUAUAAAUUGUAGAAUAAUUUGAAUAAUCAUGUUUUUAUUUUUGCUCACAAAGUAAACAUCAAAUCCAUUACAAAUAAUUCAAAUUCUUCUCCAACUAAUUUAAACUUUUAACUAUAAAUUCAUAUAUACAAACAUAAAAAUAAAUUGAUUUUUAUAUUUGAAUAUUUUUAACAAAUUCACUAUUUUUUUUCAAUAUUCACGAUCACUCACUUUCAAUUUAAAUUUAAAUUUUAAUCCCCAAAAAAAUUAAAAGAUUUCAAAUUUAAAUUUUAAUUAAAAAAAAGAAUUGAAUUGAGAGAAAAAAAUAAAAAUAAAAAAUAAAAAGUGAACGUUGGGGGAGGGGGAGGGGCUGGAAGAGUGUUGGGGUAGGAUGUGGAGGCUGGAAAGGGAUGGGAGUGGGGGGAGGGUGGGGCUGGGGGGGGGGUGGGGGUGGGNNNNNNNNNNNNNNNNNNNNNNNNNNNNNNNNNNNNNNNNNNNNNNNNNNNNNNNNNNNNNNNNNNNNNNNNNNNNNGGGUGGGGACGGGCUGGGGUAGAGUGUGGGGGUGGGGAGGGCUAGGGAGGGAAAAAAUAUAUUUUUUAAAAUUUUUAAAAAUAUUUUUAAAAUAAUUUUUUUAUUUUUAAAAUAUUUUUAAAUUAAAAAAGAUGGAGGGAAAAAGGAUCCUUUUUUAUUUUUUUUUUUAAAUUAUAAAAAUAUUUUUAAUUUUUAUCAAAAAUUUUAAAAAUAUUUUUAAAUUAAAAAAGAUGGAGGAAAAAAAGGAUCCUUUUUCAAUUUUUUAAAAUUUUUAAAUUUUAAAAAUAUUUUUAAAUUUUAAAAAUAUUUUAAAAAUUUUAAAAAUAUUUUUAAAUUUUAAAAAAUGAAGGAAAAAAAGGACCCUUUUUAAAAAAAUUUAAAAUUUUAAUAUUAUUUUAUUUUUAUUUUUAUUAUUUUAAUGUAAAAUUGGUCAAAAAUGACCCCCACUCGCACCCCCUGGCGAGUGGCUGCACUCUCUUUGUCCUAAUCACUAUUUCAAUCCCACAUAGGCAAGGUCAACGGUCAAAGGGUGCGAAAUGUUGUUUUUUGAUGGGUUCAAGGGUUCAGAUGACAAACAUAUAAGUAGAAGUAUCUAACUUACAAAAACGACAUAGUACAGGGGUCCAGAAGGUCAUUUUGCCUUCAAUAAAAUACUUUUAUAGAUGUUCCUUCAUACUAUACCAUACAAAAGACAUUGAAAAGUUACUUUUUGUUUUUUAACUUUAGUAAUUUCCUUUACCUGAAAAUACAUGUUAAGAAAUGUAUAUUGAUAUUUCUUAAAUGUGUAUGAAACUUUAAUAUUUCAUGUCAAAUUAAUUAUUUUGUCCUAAAUUCUAAAAAAAUAUUUACUAUCCCAUUUUUGGUUAAAAAAUUCAUCAUAAAAAACUGUGAAAAAGAAUUGCUCUUAUUUUUCAUUAUUUAUUAUCAUUAAUAUUUGGAGAGUUAAAUUAUAUUUUUAAAAAUUAAAUUUUCAAUCAUUUUUUGCUAUAUAUAAAAAAUAAUUAAGCAUGUACUAAGUUAGAAUGAAAAUAUCAAAAUACUUUAUUUACUUGUUCGUGAUAAAUUUUUUAGAAAAAAUAAUAAUUUCAAAUAAGAUUAAUAAACAUUUCCGCAAAAGAGAAAGAAAAUAACUUUGAGAUCAGUUUUGAACUUCCUGUAGUUUUUUAUAGUAUCACUAUCAUUUUUCCAUGACUCAUUACUUUUGUAGUAUUUAAUAGGCCAUAUAGUUGUUUAAAUUUAUCAAAAUGGAUGUAAAUUUAUACAGUUAUUAAAACUUAAAUUAGGCAUAAAAUUGACAAAAACACUUCAUGCGAGAACUACCAAAAUCUCACAUUCUCUCUUUAUAUACUAAUAAUAUAUAUAAAGGCCGUCUGUAGGUCUGCUUACCAUGAUUAAAUUGAACUUUGAACAACCGUAACUUUAAAGAGAAAGAAUCUGACUUCAAUCCUAUUGGCUUUCAACUCCCAAUUAUACCUGAGAAUGAAAUCAAUUAGACUUCCACGAAAAUCAUACUGAAGAAAUAGUUGCAUCUCUUUUCUUGAGUUAGAGGGAGAAAUCUCAAAUUCUUACUUUCUCUUUGCCAUGGUUCGCAGCCUAAGCAUCAAUCUUAAAUGAUUGUCUCUCAACUCAUAUUUUCAAGAUUGAGCAAGAUUGACUUUGAUUUCAUUCGUUUCAGUGUUUCAAUAGAGCCCGUAAUCAGUAUAUUUUAUUUAGGAUUGACUAAUUUUUAGUCUUUACUAGGAUGAAAUUAAAGUCUUUGUUGAAUUUCAUCACAUCCCUUAGAAUGGAGUAAAGGAUUGAAUUCCUUUAAGUCAGAAUUGAAGUAUAGCCUUAAGCAAUAAACGUAGUCAAGUAAUUUCUUACCGAUUUUAACUCUCUUGCUGCGCUUCUCAAUUUUCAGUCAGAGAUGUGUAAUAUGAGCUAAAUGCCUAUAUUUGCUAUUCCUCGAGUCUUUCUAAAGUCCCUCUUAAGAGUAGAGAAUCAAGCUAAAUCAUUAAGAACUCAACAUCAGCAAAUCAGUCACAGUCAGAAGUAGGAGGUCAGUCUUGAUAUUAUACUAAAAGCCCUAUCUUUAAUAGAGCAGCCUUGAAGCGGGAGAUGGUAUAGUAGUCUUAGGGUGAAGUUACCUAGGAGUUACGAAAGUUGAAAAUGAAGACUUCGAUUGAGUUGCCUAUUCCUCAUUAGUGUGGCAUAAUAGCUCGAAACCGAUUGGAAGUCGUUGAGUAAGUUCCAAUAGAGUUAGGGGUGUGCAUCGGUCGGUUCGGUUCGGUUUUACAUGUUAUUAGUUCGAUUUAUCAGUUUUUUAUUUUUAAAUAUGCAAAAUCAAUAACCAGCCAAUAAGAUAUUUUUUAUCAGUUUUCUAUUUGUCAACUUUUGAUCCUUAACGGUUUGAUUUUCAGUUUAACCAAUAAGAAAUACUCAUAAAGUAAAAAUAGUGACAGCUAACAUAAAAAAAUUGAAUCUUAAUUGGCGCCAAACUCCCACACAAUGCGUUUUUGUUAAUAGGAAUCUUCAAACUUGAACUGAAUGUUGGUUAAAAAAAACUAAAUUCUAGUUGUUGUAAGCUACUGAAUACUUUAAGCUUUUCAAUACGGCAAUACUCGUGCUUUGCAUUGUGCCUUUGUUGCCCUAAAUAGAUUAAUACUUUGUGAAUCAUUGAAUUGUGAAUAAGUAGUGUGUGUAUAUAUAUAUAUAUAUACAUAUAUAUGAUAUUAUAAAUAAGUAAUAUAAUUAUUUAUAUAUAUAACAUAAAUUGAGAUAAAAUAAUAAUUUAGAAUUUCCUUAUUGGGUUAUCGACGUUGACUCAGCUCAUUUUCGAUUUCCUGAAUUUCUUGUGAAAUUUGAAAAAGCCUUUUUGAAACUGCAAGAGUUGUCAUACCGCGCUAAUAAUAUAAUAAUAAUUUUUAAUUUUAUUUUAGAGCCGAAGGCUUAUCGAGUUUCUAUUUAUAGAGUAGAAGUAGAGUAACCCCGCCAUGCUUCAUGAAUUUGAUGAGUUUUUCAUAGUUGGGUACUAUCAUGACUCUUUGAUGAAAAAUCUAACUACCUUGCAAAGCAAAUGUUCCCGCAAUCGCCCUGUGUGAACAAUCUUUGCAUAACCAGCUUCAACCGUUAUGCCUAAUCAAUCACUGUUAGGAUAAGCGAAAUCGAAGAGGUUAGCUAGAAGGUAAGGAUAACAUGAUGAAAUAGUUGCGGGUCAUUUGGAUCAUGGGUCAAAACUACUUGGCUAGAGGCCGCUAAAUAUCAUUUGGAUGUGCCGCAGCUAUAUGGGCUUAAGCCUCUUUGAUGGUUUGGGCUAUUUUGGAUGGACUCAGAUCCUUUGCAUUCUUUCAUGUGAGUAGACAACUUUGAAUAGAUCCUGCGGGAUUUCUUGCAUAGACUUGGGCUUGUUUUGAUGACGGGUAGGCUUGUCAUGCUUUCUCCUUUCUGUGGUCUUUCAUCGAGUAAAGUGGGCUUGACAAAAUGCGAAUCACAUGCUUAUAAAAAGAAGAUGGAAUCACUUUAAGGGAAAACGAUUCAACUACUAACGUAAGUAGUUGUCUAUUUCGCGUGUCCUUCCUGUACUGACUUACGGUAUACCGCUGUUAGUGAACACUAAGGUUUUUGUGGACUGGCAAAGAGAGCAGUACAGGUAGAUAAAAAGAGAUGAAUCAAGAGGGUUAGGUCUUUUCCUAAGGAAGGACAGAGCUGUCGAGUGAGGACUGACCGAUGGGAGUCCAUGAUGUAGCUGGGUACAAAUAACCCAGGAAAAAAAAGACACGUAAAAGCCAGUGGGAUAGACGGAUUACAUGGUUUGUACUGAUCAGCUUUGAGUUGUCGAGUAAGGAUUGCUCCAUCUCUUAAUAACGGGGCUUUGUAACCUGGUCUUAUUAGAUGUUAAACGAGAAAGGGAGUACUCUAUGAUGUGUGUUGUAUUAUUGUAUUAGCUUAUGAUCGAUCCACACGACGAUACCAAAGGACUUUUAUUUUCGCUUAGAGGUUUCAAAUAGAAGUUCUCUAUUUUGCAAAACAAGGCAAGGAAAGUGUCCAAUUUCAUGUCUUAUUAUUUUCAACAAUUCAUACUUGUAGCAACGAAAUGUUAUAUAUUUGAUAAAUGAUUGAUUACAAAUAUUUAGGCUAUAUUUUUUUUCGUAUAAAUAACAUAAAUACCAACCCUUUUGGAAGUAAUUACACUCUCUCCUACAUUUUAAUUACUUUACUCUCUCUCCUUAUUAAAAUAUAUAAUAUAACCGACAUAUACAUAACAUUCUGUGUAUAUUUUGGGAUUUUUGUAAUAUGUUCAGGGAGUUGAGAUUUUUUGUAAUAUUGAAAAUAUAAAUUGUGUAUUUGUGUAAUUUUUAGUUUUUUUUUUUCUCUAUCUAUAAAGGCCCAGAAAUAACUUGUAUAUAUAUAUAUUACAAUUUCUUUUCAUUUGGGGGUAGAAAAGAUGAAGGCAAACUCCUAUAGAUUUUUGCUUUUUCUUUUUUGAUUAUCUUUGAUUUAAUCUUUGUUAAUUUUUGUUUUCUAGUUUAAUGGUAAAAGAACUUGUUAAAUCAUGGAGAUGCAGGUAUAUCAAGUGAAAUAUCUUUAAGGAUAGUGUCAAAAUUCAAAAAUUAAUUUUCAUUUUUUGGCAUAAUUUUUAAUAGCAUAUAUAUUUCAUAUUUGCUAAAAAUGAGGUGGAAGGGGUAAGAAAGAAAAAAAUUAGUAACAGGGGCCAGCUGCGAAAAGAAAAAAAUGUUUUGAUCAAUAGGCACUGUGAGAGAGAGAGAGAGAGAUUGCUGUGACUUUCUUUUCAGGUAAAUUCCUCUACUCUUUCACAGAGGCAAUUUUUUUUUCCUCUUGCAUGCAUUUUAUCCCUGCCAUUACUUUCUUGCUUUGGUUUUUACAUUUCUAGCUACCUUUUCCGGUCAAUUAGGGUUCCUAAACGUGUGUCAAUUUCUUAAAAUUAAAUUACUGAGAGGUAUUCGAGGCGAAAGCUAUUUGGAGGAAUCAAGUUAUUUAGUCUUUGUGGUAAAAUUUGGAUAUACUCAGGAUGUAUGACCUGGACCACUUAUUUUGUUUACAAUUCUGUUAUCUGGAUUUCUAGAAGCUUGCUUUCCGGAAAACUUCAUCAGGUUUUAUGUGUUUUAGUUUCCUUAUGAAAGAAUUGAAAAUCGUUAUUGAUAGAGUGAUUCUAGUUAUUGGAAAAUUGGAAUACUUAUUUUGCCAGUGUAGUCCUCUUUAGAUGAGACCUUAUUCUGAUAGGAGUAUUUCUCAAGUGGAAGUUCCAUACGUGCUAGAUGAUCUUCACUGUCAGUUAGAGCACUGAAGUGUGCAGCAUCUCUAUAAACAUACUUAAGUUCAGGUAGCAAGGAAGAAAGGAUGUAGAAAACAAUUGAGAAUAUCAAAUUUUGCAGUUAAGUUCUGUUUUACAGGAAAAAAAAUGAGUUUAUGGACCUUACAGUUUGAGACACUUUGCAAAUUAAAGUAAACUUGUUUUUUCGGAAUUGUAACUCUGGUGAAGCUAACAUACAUUCUUGCCAGUCACAUAUGUGAUUUGUUACUAGUCUUUUCAUCAAGUUAUACAAAUCCAACAAGUCUUUCGGCUGUCUCUCUUAAAAUAUAUUUUUUGACUAGUUCUAAAUGAGAAGGGGAGUCUUGGAGUAACUGGUAAAGUUGCUGCCAUGUGACCAGGAGGUCACGGGUUCAAGCCUUGGAAUCAACCUCCGGUAGAAAUGCAAGGUAAGGCUGCGUACAAUACACCCUUGUGGUGGGGUCACCGCGCAUAAUGGUAGCUUUAGUGCACCGGGCUGCCCUUUUUUUAGUUCUAAAUGAUCUUCACCUUUUCUUUCGUGUAUUUUAAUGUUGUCAUUUGACCAGCUCUUAAUUAUUGCUACUGUAAUGUAAACUGCAUUUUUUCUGAUUUUGAGCUGGUACCUCCAUUUAACGGAAUCCCUUCUCACGAAUUCCAUAUCAGCAAUCUCAUCCCAGCUAACAUCUUUUCCAAUUUCGUGGAUUAUCACCAAGGUCUUCUUUCUACCGUUCACUGCUAAAAUCCAGCUACAUCUACCAUGAACAUUAAAAUUUUGGAAGACGAAGUACGAGUAUAUCUGAUCAAUGUUCCUCCAUCUCCUACAGAUUUUCCCGGUACCUCUUGAAGUGCAAGUCUCAAGCAUUUGUAAAAACAAUGAUGUUGAAUCUAUGAGCAAAUAUCUUAUGGACUAAGUUCUUGUUCCUCUCUAUGAGCUUGCACCAAUUAUCACCAAUUUCCUUGAUUUUGAAGGAUUCAUCUCCAGCCAAAGAAGACAACUCUUUUCAACAUGAUGGCUUAUUUGCGUUGCCACUAUCAUCACCUUUCUCGUUGUUGUUGUUCCCUUCGUAAGUGAAGCCGGGCAGGCGCUUUAAGAAGGUGCCAGUUGACUACUAGUUGUAUUGGAUCUUACAUCGGUUCUAGCACUUUCUCUUUAUUCUAUUUUUGAAGAUCUUUCCUUGCUCUGAGGAGUGCCCGGUUUAACCAGAAUCAUCUCGUUAGCUAGCUUUUAGAGUCAUCCCGGGAUCUUUGGCUUAUGCCAUGUGCUCCAAACUUGAACUCAACUUCCUUUUUUCACCAACAUCCGCUUCUCGCUUCUCACUCAAGAAACUCAAGAAACUGGUGAAAGUCUUUUCCCUUUGCUGUCAAGGCUUAACGUACUCAAUGAUUGUAAUAGAACUAAUAAAACUUAAGAAUGAAAUAGGCUAGAACUUAUGAGGACAAAGACUGAAAAAACUGUUUGAUAGAAGAAAGAGAAUGGAAACAGAUAGAGUAAGCUGAAAGGACAAAAAAGAGAAGAAAUAUUUAAUUGGAGUAUAACGUCAGGAAUGACACAGAAAAUGAUCGGAGAGAUUGAUUAUUGAUAAAAAAUUAGGUUAGAGUUGCCAGAGAAGGAGGUUGGUCGACAAUUACGUUCUGCAAGGAGAGAACCAGUCUUUGUAUUUCACUUGGUUCCGCAUUCCUCUAUCAUAUACUUCAAGUUGGUGGGGCUUUUUAUAAAGUGUGUUACAAAGUCCCACUCCAAUUAGAAGCAGUCAAUGAUAGCACUGCACCGUUUCCAGGUUACCAGUUUAAUAUCACAGAGAGUUCAACUUCAGUAAGAUCGUUGAUAAAUGUAAAUGUGAUGAACAACAUCAAAGUCAAUCUUGUUUUGGAGGCCUAGUUUUCACCUAAUAUUACUUCAUUUUUUUUCUGUUCAACUAAAGAUAAUAUUUUCCCUAUUUUUUUUAUUUUUUUCAUGUUUAAUUGAUUCUAACAGUAACAAAUAUCAUUUGUAACAGAGCAGUGGUUGUUUGUAAUCCUACAAUAAGUCCAAAUUAAGUUCCUCACUUCACGAACCAGUGAAAGAUCAGAACAUCAAUAUCAGGUGAUAAUUAAAGCUAAAAUAUUGGAGGACUUUUGGAGAGCCAGCACGUGUGGCAUGGACAAAAGUGUAGGUAAGUCGUUGGUAAUCAACUCAUCCGUUAGUACAUCUACACCGACACAUGAUGGUUAUGCGACUGCAAAUCCAAACAACCCUGCUGAAUAUGUAAAUCAUGGUAAAUUUGAUUCUCCAUUGUGCAUCCAUGUUUUUUCUUGUGUUAACUUUGCUGUUAGGCGUACCUCGGUGUUUUGUGGAAAGCACACUUGCUGGUUUAUACAAAUGGUUGAUAAAUAGGUUAAUUAUGUAAGUGAAUGAAUUUAGAUAUUUGAUCUUAUAUGGUGAAAGCAAUAAUAAGGUUUUACUGUUAAAUUUGGUCACGUCUGGUUUUGCGCUUGUUUUGGGGCUGUGGAGUAUUUUAUCUGAACUUUUGAAGAAACUUGUGAUAUGAAAAAGAAUAAUUACUACUUAGUUUUUCAAAUAUCAAAUAUCCUAACCAUGGUGAUGUUGAUGUUCCAGAUUAAGUUCUGUCAUGCUUUUGAGAGUGAUGAAGAUAAUAGGUCCAUCUCUGUUACGUUCUAUUUUAGACUCCAUAUGUUGUUUUAGGCAUUUGGCCUAAACGUAAUGGCUCUCCUGUCAUCCUCUUUUAGAGGUCUAUCUCACCAAUUAUUUCUUGUACGCAUUUUCUGCAGGACUACAUCUCUGGAACCAAAUCAGACAGCAGUGGAUAGGACACAAGAAAGCUGUCAACCAACCGCAUCAGCUUUGUGAACCUAUACUAAAGUGAGGUUAUGUGCCUAAGAUUGUUGAUGGAUCCCUUUUUGUCUGCAUUUCCUCUAAGGAAUUUUAGCUUUGCAGUUGGAAUGCUACGUACGAUAGUUUGUUUGGGAGCAACAAGCCAUUGCCCGAGCCUACCCCGCUUGCUGUGAGUAUGCAUGAAAGUUAAAGGAGUCGAUGCUCCUCAUAUUUCUGUUCGAAUGACACUAUGAAUUCUCAUAUAAAACCUGCAGGAAAUGGUAGAUUUCCUUAUGGAUUUCUGGGAGCUAGAAGGACUGUACGAUUGACAUAUUGUCGGCGACGACUAUUUUGUUGAUGAAUGAUGACCGAUGUAAAUUUGAUUUGCUUAGUGUCUAGGGAGUACAAGUUUACUGAUUGAGUUUCUGUAUUGAAAUGUAAUCUAACUCCAGGCAAACUCGGAGCAUUUUUUUACCGCAACCUAAUUUAAUGUGUGGCUUAAUUUUAAGGAACCAGAAAUGCUUAGUUACAGUUUGCUUAAGAGAGUUAUGUAACGUUUGCCUGUUUGAACCAAAACUAUUCAUAGCGCUUAGAGGAACCUAUUUUACAAACUGCAAAUUUCAUAUUUAGUUAAUUAAUAAAUUACUCCAAAUGUUUUUCAAAUGGAUUAAUAUUUCCAUGAGAUAAUUUUUUGAUGUUUUCUAAAGUAAUUUGAGUCCUUCAAAUUGGAGUUGGUACUGCUUUUACUACCUGAUUUGUUGAUCGUUUUGACAAAUAAAACCUACAGCCAAACCAAUCGGUAUAAAUCUAAGCUUUAGCAGUGAAGUACUGGUAUGUGAAACGACACAACCUUUUCCAGAGAAAGCUAUGUAAUAAUUGUCAUGUAGCCUGCUCGUAUAGUCUUGUAUGUGAAACAGUUGCUACUUAAUAUAAGUGCUUACUUUCGUUAUUCGUCUCAAAUUAUGUGUCGUAUUUCUUUUUCAUGCGCUCUUUAAAAAGAAAAUUUUGACUUUAUCCUUAUUUAUGUCUUGAGUUAUAAUCUUUCUUCAUUGAAUAUUUACUCUAUUCAUGUGUCAUCACCCCAUAAUUAAGGUAUUUGUAAUUUUAAAAAACAAUUACUCCCUCUAGUUCAAAAUAAGUAAAUUUUUGAGCUACUUUUCAAUAUCCAAAAUAAGUGAAUUAUUCAUUCUUGAAGAGACGUGUUAGAAAUUUCUUUCAACUUUUAUCCUUCAUUUACACUCUCUUUCUAGGUUAUAAGUUCAAAAAGACCUAAUUGACUUUAUUUUAAGGCAGGGGUGGAGCUACACUAAGCCGNNNNNNNNNNNNNNNNNNCCUUCGGCGAAAAAUUAUACUAUUUAUACAUAAUUAAAAUUAUUUUUUAUGUAUAUACAGUAGAUGUUGAACCCCCUUCGAUUAGUUCGUAGAUAUACUUCUGAACCCCCUUAACGAAAAUCUUGGCUCCACCACUGUUUUAAGGUAACUGAGAUUUCAAGAGCAGUUUGACAAUAUUUAAAAGAGAAAUGGGAAGUAAAGUACAAUUUAUGUCCUAAUUUCUUUUCCUCAAUAGGUGAGCAUUGAGACAAAAAUUCACUUAUUUUGGACUAGAGGAAAUAUUAUUUAGGGUAAAUUGAGGAAAAAAUAAUUACUUUUAUCUGGAGAUUUAAAAUAAUAAAUAAUUUGAGACAACUAUUUUAGAAAUCACGAUAGAUAAAUUGAGAGAAGGGAGCAUUAUAGUCGUGAGAUAAGGAUAUAAUAAUCUCGGGUAAAAUUUGGCCGAAUAAAAUUUGGAAUUAACUGUACCUCAUGUUUGGAUUGAGCUAUUAGCUAAUUUCUAAAUUAUUUUAUCUCACCAUUUAUACUAAAAUGACUAAAUUACAAUCUUAUAUCGAAGAUGAGACAAAAUAUUCACAUAAAAUAUCUCAAUCCAUGAAAUAUGUUAUUUAUCUUUUCUGGCAUACUAAAAUAAAGGUCAUGAAACCUUUCCAGCUUUUCACAUCUAUACUUCAUUUCGGGAGACAGUACUAAUUCGGAGGUGAAAUGGAAGUCAACAAUGAACUUAUUUUUACUAUAUUUUGGUCACAAAGUAUAGGUGCAUGAGUUCAAAGAUGAAUUAACUCCUCCAAGGACUAGACAGUCUACGGUCAGUGUUGGUUGAUCCAUAUCAUAAAAAGUUGUUCAAUUUUGUGUAGGUGAACCUCGAAGUGUGAUGUGUUAGUAUAGUAAAGAGGGCAUUUCAAAAAUCCUAGGAAGUUGUUAAAAUUUACCCUUUGAAAUUGAAUAGACAAGGAUUAAACUUACGAGGUUUGAUAGAACGCAUCCUACUAUUUGCAACAAAAGUUCAAUUAGCAUCAUUUUUCAUAGAUUUAUUAAAUUAGUACUAUUUUUAUCCUACUUUCUCCACCCAAUUUAUGUAAUUCAUUUCGAAUGUGCAUGAAAUGCAACGGAAGUGAACUUUUAAAAUUUGUAAUCUAAAAUAAGAUAUAAGACAUAGAGAAAUGAAUGGUUAUAAAUCCUAUGGUAAGUUUUUGAACUUUCUUUUAGAACAAACCCAAAAAUAAGUAUUUAUCAUGACAUAAAUUAGUACAAAGAAAUAUUUGUCUCUGAAGCUGUGAAAUAGACACGGGGGCAGUUUGACGUUACUCUAUCCUGCCAUUUUUGUUGAUUCAUAUUUGGCUUGACACAUUCUUAAGAAACAAUAAAUAAAGAGAUAUUAACUUUUACUAUGUUACAGUUCCACUUAUUAAUUACAAGUCUUCUAAGUAUUAUAAGAAAUGAAUGUAGUAAUAUUUAAUAACAGGGUAAAAAUAAAUUCAAAAUGAUAAAUUAUUCUUUAAUUUUUUAAACUGAAUAAGUAAAGAUGGAGAUGCUCAAAUAGGUCAUAGCAGGUGCAACAUUUCCGAGGAAGAUGCGGAAAAUUAGGAGUAGUCAUCAGUGUACUAUAAUUUCAAUGUGAAAUGUCAAGUGAUUUGGGCAGCAGAUCAUAGUAUUGUCCCUUCUUCAGGAAACAGUUCUCCAUCUUGUCUCACCAUAAAUACCAACCUUUCAUCAUCCCAUAUGUAUAUUGCAAUACUCAUCUAAAGUAGAAACAAACUUUCAUUAUUUUGCUAGCUGCUAUAAUUGAGAGGUUCACAAGUUAUAUACCUAUGGCCCUAUCAAUCUGGAACUCCUUACUUGGACUUACAUUCGCUCUUUUUUUGUCUCUACCAUUUCUUCCAGCUUGCCAAUCAGGUGAACUCUUCGAUUUUCUUCUUCUCUAUGCAUGGUAAGACUUGUUUCUACUUGUAUAAAUAGGAAAAUUUCAUAUGUAAACGAGAUGAACAAAAUUUACAGUCUGUAUUGUUCGAUCGAUAACAAUGGCGGAUCGGAGGAAGUUAAACUGAAUCACCUUUGUCGGAGAAUUACGCUGCGCAAAAAGAUAAAACAAUUGUUUUGUACAUACACAUAUAAAAUAUUGAGUCCAAUCCCCUGACAUGGAUUCGUAUAUUAGACUUAGUCGUUUUUGUUACGAAACGUUUUGAAUUCCUUUAUUUAAAAUCCUAACGAGGUACUAAUAUAAUUGGAGUUGUGUUUGUACAGCGAGUAUGGCUAGGCGGAUGGCGAUAGGGUCAAAGCCACCAGCUUGUGUAAACAAGUGCAUGAGUUGCCAUCCAUGCAAGGCAACUCUAGUCAUUUCAGCGGGCCAGAAGAACAAGGGCGGCCGCCCUAAUAGUUAUACUGAUCCAUCUAGAAGACAAGCUGAUGAUACUUAUUAUCUCCUCUCUUGGAAAUGCAGAUGCAGAGAUCAGCUCUUUCAACCUUGAUUCAGUAACUAAGCCCUAUAAGCUAGACAUAUUUAAUUAUAUACAUCAUCAUGGGUACUGCAGCUAGUGUUUUAGUAAAUUAAUUAAACACUGAUUUUGUACUGAAUCUGGAUGAUAAAUAUAUAAGGAUACAUGCUUAAUUAAUUACUUGAGUCCUAAUUGAGACACAGAGUUUAUGACAAUUUAGCGUACUAAGAUGGAGGGACAAUUAAUUUGUAAUAUGCAGCCAACCUAAAUUUUUCUGUCCAACAAGAAAUACUAGUUAGACACCAAAACAAUUCGAUAUCUUGCCCCUCCAAAUCACCAGGAUUUUGGCUCAUCAGUGUCAUCACACAGGUUUUCAAAUUUUAAAAUCAAGUUAACCAACUAAAUUUAAGUCCUCAGAUAGAACUUAGUAGACGUUUGAACAUAGAUUUCAAAUAUUUUUUACUUUUUUCUUUUAGAAUUCAUGGAGUUAGAGAUGAAAAUGAAGUUGUAUUUGGUUUUCAUUUUUGCAAAGAAUAUUUGGAUUACUGUUCAUACUUGAUUGUAGUUAAAUACAAUUUCAAAGUUGAACAAGUAAUUAAUAAGUUAUGUUUCAAAUUCAAAUACAACUUCAAGUUAGAUUUGAAUUUUUCACGGCCAAAUGUUAAAUUUCACAUAUAUAAGUUGAAAAAUUAUUUCAAAAAGACUGAUUUUUAUAGCCAAGCGAAUCCUUUUUUAUUUUUUAUUUUUGUGUGUGUGGGGGGGUGGGGGGAGGGGGUUCAAGAUAAUAUGCUUAAUAGCAUUACAACAAAAUGGAAUGGAGCACUGGAGGCAUUAUGCUCAUUCAAUCUACACAUCUCCGAUUUGUGUCUAACCAAAUUAGUAAUUCCUAAUUUGUAUAUCGUACAUGAACAAACAAAGGAGGAUCUUUAAUACAAAUUUAUUGUUCGUAUCGAAACGUGAUAUUAUUUUUUGUGACAUGAAAACUUGUGCUUCUUUAUCCUGAAGUGACGUGAUUUUUUGGAUGGAUGCCACGGGGUCCAUCAUUUUUGUAUCAUCUUUUUAAACGUAGAAGUUAUGCUGGCUCUUCUUCCUUUUUGCUAAACAGAUACUUGUUAUUACCCGAUGAUCCGUCAUGUGUCUGUUGCUGGUGUAGUAUCUAUUAACUCCAUUAUCUUGCUUUGAAGGGGGAAUUUUUUCCAUGAGAAAGAAUCGAAUGUAAAUUAAGCACAAUUACUAUACGUAUAUUUUACUUAUUAAAAAUAUUACUAAGAAGAAAUAUAAUAUAAUUGCAACAAAUAAACCAAUGUUUACAAUUAUACGAUGAUUAAAGUUUGAAAAUAUUUAAUUUAGAAGCUGAUUUUUUUUUUUAUUUGUUUCGCUUCUACACUUUAAAGUGAGUGUAUCUAUAUUUGUUGCCAUGUCAAUAUUCAAAGGAUUCAAAACUGUAAAAUCAUCAAGUUUACGUGAUUAAUUAGAAUAAAAAGAGCGAUUCAAAUAUGCACCUGAUGAAUAACGUUAAAAUUCAAGAGGUUUCGAGAUAUUAUACUUGAAAUUAUUCCAAAAUCAAAAUAGUUAUACAAUAGAGUAAAAAAUUAGUCCCAAAAGAAAGAAAAAGAGAAAACGAGAAACAAGAAAAAGACCAUAAAGAAUAUGGUUUAAUAGAUGAGAUCAUUUCUUUCUUAAUGAAAGAUUUUGAUUUUAAAGUUUUAGGUAUGAAUUUAUUUUUUUUUUUAAUAAAAAAAGCUACUUUCGAAUGAGUUCUAUUCCAUGAAUUUAAAUUAGCAAGACUUUAUUGUAGACACAAAAAUUGAAUGAGAAGCAAGAAUUUUUUUUUUAAUUCAAUAUAAAUUUAAAUUAAUCAAACUAUAUAUAUAUAUGUUGAGUCACCGAAAAAACAAGAAAGAGAUAAAUGAAAAAGGUAAACGUGUCAAAAUUAAGGAGAUGUGUAGCAAAUUAGUCCUAGUGGUGCUACUUUUGUAGGCAAAUGAGCCCCCCUUUACCAAAAUUCAGGUAACAAAAUCAGCAAAAAUGAAAUCGUGGCUCGCUCUCAAGAACAUUCACUAUUCACCGCCAAAUUUUUCCACUUCCGCCUCCAAUUCCGUAACGCCACCGCGCCUCUGUUCGCCCUCCACUUCUUCUAACCUUCGAUUCUCUUCCUUUAUGAUAAAUUUACAAAGCUCAAUAACCCACUCCUCUUCUUAUCCUAAUACGUCUUCCGGCCGCUGCCGAGCUACUAGUGCUGGACCACCUUCGCCUCCACAGACCGAACCACCUGAUAACGACGAAAACUCAUCAUCGUCUCCAGGUAGUCGUAGCUCAUUUUUGUGUAUUUCUAUUGCAAUUUUUGUUCCCUCAGUUCACUUUUACUUUAUCAUGUUUCGCUUAGAGAGUCAAACUGCAUGAAUUUUGACAUCUUAUUAAUAUGAGAAGAAUUGCAACUUAUAGUAUUUUUUGUAUUGUUUUGUGAAUAUUAAAUUUUAAAAUUUAAAAUAUUGAAUUAAUAUAAUUCAAUUUAGCUUCAAAGAUUAGUCAAAUUAAACUCGUGUAAAGCGAAACAUGAUACGUGAAAGUAAACGUAGGAUGUAGUAGCUAGCAUCUUUUAGUAACAAUUGUACUAUGUUAGAAACGAGAUUCAUAUCGUGAACUAUAUUCUUAGACCAGGUUUUAGUUUCAAUAUGUAUUUGGGUAGAAAGCACACCGUCGUUUUUCUUUGGGUAGUAGGAAUCGCCUAUUUGACACCGGGAGGUCGCGAAUAAAUUGGGGAUAAGAGCCAUAUCUGCUUAGAUGUGUAUUAUAUCUGUUAACAAUUAGAUUGAUUUAUCACCAAUUCCUUGUAAAAUUUUGUAAUAACUAGCUUUUGAAAAGUUUGUCAUAUAUAGAAUAUUGCCUUUAGUUUCAACUGAUUUCAUCAGACAAGUUGAAAAAGUGUGUUCGAGUCUCAGAUUGUGUCUGUGGAACAAGUUGAAAAAGUGUGUUUGGGUUUCAUAUUUACAAGGAUAGAAGGUGUUGGAAAGUCUGAUGCAUCUUGGCUUAGGGUAGUAUAGUUAUAUGAAUCCUUCAAUACCCCUGUUACAUUGACACAAAAUGGAUGUGGCUGUGUGAUAUAUACCGGAUUUUAUCUAUUAAUAUAGAGUGUGUUGACUAUCCAGGAACUAAGAAGCAUAGGGUGCUUGUGUUGUUUGGUUUCACUUGUAUACAUAAAACCAAACUUACAUACUCUAUAUAUACAUACAUAAUUGCAUAACUAUUAGAAUAUUUUUUCUUUGUAUGAGAUAUGCUUAUGGAAUAAAAUAUUAGGUGCUUGUAGAAUUUGGAUAUACUUAUUUUGGUUCAAUAUCUUUUCAAUUAAUUAUUGUACAUUUGAUUUCUGCAUUCAGCACACCUGAACUCCUUUCCACGCCCCUUAUCCUGAGUGUCAGGUGAUAAAUCAUCCCACCCAUAAAUUAUACCUGCCCCUGUCCAUUUAACAUAGCUCUACGGCAUACAGUGUAGCAAAUGAUAUGCUAAAUGGGAUAGCCAAAUGUUGGUCUGCAGGAUACAACCAUCAGAGUAAACUGAAGAAUAUGGAUGACGAACACAAUAAAUAUGCCAUAACUUGGAGGUUAUUGGUUGGAAUGAGCUGAGUACUAUCGUCAUUAAUAAAUUGUGGCCAAUGCACUUUUAUUUUCAGAUUCCCUUUAACCAUUUCUGAAAUGAUCAGUUCGCAUCAUUAACAGAGAUAAGGCAUUGCGAGGCCAAACAACCCGUACCGUAUAGUUAUAAUGUUUCAUUCACAUUGUAUCAAGUUGAGUAAUUGUCCAAUGAAUAAUUUGUGUCACUUGCUCAAUAACCUGAAACAAAUAUUGUUACAUCCUUUUAUCGUUCUUCCUUUCUUUUUUGUAUGUUAUUUUGGGGUGUGUAAAAUGCAGGUAAAUAUAUCAGGCAGCUGUUUUAUCCGUUGUAAUGAUAUGUUCCAAUGACAAGGACUCAUCAGUAUUAGUAUUGGCAGGCAAAAAAUAGUAAAAUUUCGUGCUUCGCCUGAAAUGUUAUUCUUUUUAAGUUUAAUGGCUUAGCAUAGCUUUUCUGCUUUGCUAUUGUUUUUGGGUCCCAUGGUAGAGCUGGUUUGUGCUCUGAAUGAAGGGAUCUCCUCGUACAUUAUUUGUAAAUUGAUUGUACGAGAUGCUGAUGGUCAAGACUUGUGAUAAUUUGGAAAGUUAUGAUGAUUGAGUAUGUCAAGAACUUUGACGUUGUUUACUUUUCUUCUCAAACUAAUUGAAGUCUCCUUUUUCUUGAGCAUAUGCAGUGACAGUGCUCAUAUUUUUAAGGAUCCUUGACAAAUGUUUAAAUUUCUUAACCAGGUAUCAUGGCAUCUUUCUCGAAAGCACAAGACACCAUGCGGAUAUUUUUUGCUGUGUUAUUCUGGAUGUCACUUUUCUUCUGGUAUUCUGUGUGGGAUGGAAAGAAUGAUGGCAGACCGAACAAGGGUUCUCGAUUUAGAAGAUAAAAUUGUAAGAAAAUUCUUUAUGGUGUCAUGUACAAUUAACUCCUGAUGUUGUCUUACGCUAUAGUGUAUAGCAUGGGAGCAUAAGGGAAAAAAAGAAAAAGAGGAGAAAUUUAGUGUCUAAAGCUGUUUAGAGUUGCUGAAAGAAUGGAGAUAAUUCUCUCUACUUCACUAAAAGGUAGUUUAGAGCUCCUUGUUAGCCAAGCUAGCAUCAGUUCAUUCAUGCUGUGAUUUUACUCCUUUAGAGCCUUGAGAGUAAAAUCUUCUGUACAAUUAUAUGGGAUUAGAGUCUGUGGCAGUGCUCCUUAUAUUCUUUCAUCUUAGGUAAAAUAAUACGUUUCCCUGUCUUGUUCAAGAACUUACGAGCUACUCCAUGUUUUCUUCCAUCUUGAAUUGAGGAAUACCUUUUCCUGUCUUGUUUAAGAACUUAUGAAAUAGAGUGUUUUUUUGUAAAGCAAAGCAAAGUUUUCUUCUCUCUAUUUCGUGGUGUGUGUUGGUUUGAAUUGAAAACAAAACCUUAAUAAUUAUUUGUUUUUGCUAUCUAAUAUCAGAGCUAUUGGACUUCACAUACUGUUUUAAAGUAGUUCCCUUAAGGAAGUUUUGAAAAUAUCAGUUCCACAAAUACCAAUGUAUCUUCAUUUUCUGAAGAUCACAAGCUUCAUUAUCUUUCCUUACCUUUUUAAAUCUUGAUACUGAUCUAGUAAGCCAAGGUUAAUUCCUUCAGCAUAUCUGCAUGGUAUGAGAUAGGAAAAUCGUGUGGUAGUGGCUUUCAUCCUUGUGAAGGGAAAAGUUGAUUUGUACUGCGUAUCUUAGGGCAGAACAUAUUGUUUUAUUUGUGAAAGAAGAAUUUUGAGCUAUUGAGAUCAAAUGAGGUGAAGCAAUUAUUUGCGCCCUUUGUGAAUGUGGUGUGUACUUUCUUUUCUCACAGAGCUAUUUUUGCUCGUGAUUCAACGUAAAAUACUUGCUCAUCUUCCUGGUUUUUGAGUAAUGUGGUUUAGUACUCUUAUUCAAAUAAGACUUGCUUGUAAGACUAUAAAUACCAAGUUCUAGAUGUUGCUGUUUGAAUGUGAUAAACAAGAAAAACAGCUUGGGAUGUAAGCUGUACUGGAGUUGCUUUAUUACUUCUCAUUGUGUCUGUUUAAUAUCUCUUUGCCUGUAGUUAUAAAUGAAAUAAAAAAACUUUACGCGUCAGACAAUUAUUCUUCUCUUUUCUGUUGCUUCUCCUACUGUGAGUGAAUGGAACUAUAAGAAAUUCUUGAUGACCAAGCAAGAUACGUGUUUUUAAGUUUACAUGUGCUUAGAGUCCUCAGGCUGUUGGCAUAAGACCUAAGGCGGAAAUAGAGUACUGUUCUUUUUGAAUACGACAAUGAUGGUUUAUUAGGAAGGCCAUCUAGGAAGUAAGAGAGAAAGUUAGAUUUGUGUUCCCAAUACUGCAAAUUUGCGCUUGAAAGGGCAUAAGCUGCCUACUUUUUAUUUGGGGAUAUUUGUUUGAACUCUUGGUAUAGGGGUAUGAAUGGAACUGGAAACUCGUAGUGAUGGAAGACAGCAGAACUUCCAUCUGUACACUAAAAGCAGGACCAUCAUCCUCUAGUGCCAGAAAAGGGAAGAUAGGUAUAUUCUUGCAGUUAAAGACAGGGCAGCUGGUCCCCUUCUGGUACCUUAAUUUGGCAUUCCCUGUUGCAUUAUUGAUGUCUGGCUAGCAAACAUCGAACGAACCAACUAUUAGUCUAGUCCUAAUGUGGUUCUUAAUGCUUUUGAUUGUCAAGUGUUUGUUAAAUGGUUAGGUUGAACCAUCGUCAACAGCGACCUCCUUAACUGUACUUUAGUAUUGUGUUAUUCGUGCAUCAAAUGUGCCAUCAAACCCCCCAAAAAUUCCAGUUAUAUUCAGAUGGAAUCUGGUGUAGAAUAAUUGAGAGGCUCGUGAAUCUUUGGAGUGUUCAACCUGUGUAAAAUUCCACGGAUUUUAAUGUUUCGACACCGGUCAGUGGAAACUUAAAGAAGGAAAUGAAGAGGAAUUUCUUGUUCUAGUCGUUGUCAACUUGCAAAAAUAAUCUGUGUCAAUUUGCAAUUACGUGACUUGUGCGCUAACUACAUUGCUAGUAUUGAAUCAUUUGUGGGGAAGGUGGAGCCACUUUGUCCCAAAAUAUCAUCUCGUCUUCAUACUUCUGAUUUGAUGUUAUUAACUUUAUGAACCUUUCUCAUUAGUUGCUGGGUGGGUGAUACAGAGAAUUUUAGAAACCUAAAUUGCAAUCUACAAGUUACAAUUUCUUAUACAAGAAAAGGUGUCUAAAAAGGUUACAACUACAACAAACCUAAUAUAUUCCCACAAAGUGGGGGUCUGGGGAGGGUAGAGUGUACGCAGUUCGGUGGAGAGACUGUUUCUGAUAGAUCCCCGGUUCAAAAUUAAAGAUAGUAUACAAAAGUAUCAAAAGCAAGGAACAUGAUAAAAUAACAUAGGUAUCUUCAUCCACAAAAGAUUGAUUGUACAUUGUCAAACAAAGAACACCAAAGUCCAUCUAAUUACUGGCUACGACUCAUCCAUACCCUUAAGCCCUCUAUCCUAAUAUUUUUCCUAGGUGUCUAAAAAGGUUACUGUAACUAAUUUGUCCCGAGUAUGUAACAUAAAGAUGGAACAAACGCAUAUGCUAUUGUAUCAUCGUCCAUUCUUCUGGGCCGCAAAUUCUCAAACAGUGAACACAUGUGGCUGACAUUGGCAAAUAGUCAUUUUUUUGACAAUGAUAGAAAAAAUAUCUCAAGUUAAAAUGUGGAAAAACUUAAGGAAAAUUUUAUUGGAACUUGAACAUUUAUCACUUUGAAUUCCAUGAAUUGUUCGUGGAGUUUGCAAUUUCAUUUUCGUACUUAAAUUGUGAAAGUUUGAACUCCAUGAGUCGUUCACGUAGUUUGCCUUUAGAAGGCUUGAACUUCAUGAAUUGCUCACGUAGUUUACAAGUCUAAACAAAUUUUUAUACUUAGCAUGAAACCAUGUCAAAAUUUGACAAUUCACUUGUACAAGUCUAAACAAAUUUUUAUACAUAGCAUGAACUGUUUUUGGAGUUUGAAUUGAUAAAAGGUUUGAAUCCACAAAAUCAUUUAUGGAAUUUUGAACUAGUACCCAUUAUGUCUUAAUUUACCUGAUAUUCUUUUUUAAGUUGGUUAAAAUAAUGACACAAUUUUAUAUUUAAUGAUAAUUUAACUGAAAUUCUUUAUUUUACUAUUAAUGAGAUGAUUUGUUGUCAAUAAAUAUUCAUGAUCUUCUUAAAUUUGUAUCUGAUCAAAUAUCUUCAUGUGAAUUGAAACGGAGUGAAUGAUUAGCAAACUAACCAAUCUGCUACGUAAUUUUUACAUCAAUGAUCGUAGGACCACCUAGAGUGCAAAGGCCCAAUCAUAUUUGUAGCCGAGAGAACUGGCCCUACAACAGCAUGGUUAAUUUCGGGAAAUUAUCCCAAGUGUUUUUCAAAGUGACCGAUUUUUAUUUUUUGUCCCUUGAAUAUUAGACGUUGAAAUUUCGUUCUUCAAAUUGUGUGGUCUUAAAUUCUGUUCUUAUAAAUAAAUUCUACUAUUUAUCUAGAAGUUUUAUAUAUAAGACAGAAGUUUUGGUCAAUUGUAUAAGUUCACUAUUUUAAAAUGUCCCUUAUAGUCAAGAGUUACAACAUAUAUUUUAGCAAAAAUUACAAUAUCUAUCUUAUAUGUAAUAUAUAUAAAUUUAAAUUUUUUAAUUAAUUCUACAAUUUAUUACGUUUGUAUUAUGUUUAAGAAUUAUUAAAGGAGGAUAUCUUUUUCUAGAGGGACAAAAUAUGAAAGAUUAAUAAUAUCCGAGCAUUUUAACGUAACACACCGGGGCAUAGGAAACUCACUUGUAGGAGGUGGUCGUCACAACCAAAAUACAUCAUAUUUCAACAUGCAAAUAUUACUCUGAGGCAUACACCUCAUGUAUUAUGUAUAUAUCUCUGACUUUUUGUCGUUGUUGCAUGCGGAGUAUUUGUGCCAAUCAACAAUUCUACAUUUAUUCCAAUCACCAAUUUCUAUUUUUGUUUCUAUAAAACCUUUCCAAUCAUAUAGCCAACCACNNNNNNNNNNNNNNNNNNNNNNNNNNNNNNNNNNNNNNNNNNNNNNNNNNNNNNNNNNNNNNNNNNNNNNNNNNNNNNNNNNNNNNNNNNNNNNNNNNNNNNNNNNNNNNNNNNNNNNNNNNNNNNNNNNNNNNNNNNNNNNNNNNNNNNNNNNNNNNNNNNNNNNNNNNNNNNNNNNNNNNNNNNNNNNNNNNNNNNNNNNNNNNNNNNNNNNNNNNNNNNNNNNNNNNNNNNNNNNNNNNNNNNNNNNNNNNNNNNNNNNNNNNUCCUCUAAAGGAGGGCCGCGGAAGUUGGUUACUCUGCAUUUUCUUCUUCUUAAAAACAUUAAUCAAAUCUGCAAAUCCAUCAAACCCAAAAUUAAUAAAAAUGCUGUUGAGAAGCUCAUCAAGCCCUUUGUUGAAUUCAUGGAAACCGAAAUCAUGCGGGUCAUCACCCGAAUCCGACUUAUUACCCAUUACAACCCAACAAUUGAUCCGAACCCGAUCGGUGUUAAUGUCGACGUCGUUUGGUCCCGAUGAAUCUCCGACGAAGCAUGCACCGAAUCGGUCUCGAGAUCCGGCUGUUCAGAAGAAGAACAUAAACGGGUCGAAGAGAGAGGUGAAAACGAUGGUGCCGGCGAAGCUGGGGUCCACAGGAGUGAGGAUAUUGUUAUCGAAUUCCGGGUUGGGGAAGUCGGAGGAGGAUAAAGAGAGGGGGUUGAAGACUCUGGUGGCGGGUGGUGUUGGUGGUGGAGGAGGAGGAGGAGGUCGAGUUUGUGGUGGCGGCGGUAGUGGAGGGACCCGUGAUGGAGAUGGGUCGGGUUCUCAGGAUUCGAAUAGUUGGCAUGGGUACAAGAGUACUGAUGUUUAUUACCAGAAAAUGAUUGAGGCUUACCCGAGGAAUGGUCUGCUUCUUGCCAAUUAUGCCAGAUAUUUGAAAGAGGUAAAUCAAUUCUAAAUGAUAGUAUUUCAUUGCCAAUGUUAAUUAAUUCAAUAAAGGGGGAUUUAGAAUUUAUACUUGAUGGUUGUAUAUUUAAAGAUCUCAGCGCUCACUAUAUCUUUGAAAUUAUGGGUUCACAAUAUUGCCAUUUUGAUAGGAUCAAGACUUACCAUCAUGCCAAAAGCCAUGACGGAUAACGACGGCGUCAUGUUCGAUCAUGACUCUGGUACAUGCAACCCCAGCCCCUCGUGGGAUUGCCAUAUGCAGGAUGUUGACGUUACCCAUCAAAUUUGAGAUUAUGGGUUCAAAUUUUGAUCUUUCACGUUUUCAUGUUGGGAUUAAGCCUUACCAUCAUAUGCCAAAAACUAUGGUUAAUAACAAGACAUCAACUUUAUUUCCUAUCUAAGCACACAAAGCAAUCGUUCUGUUCGAUUAUGACUCUGAUCCAGGAAGCCCCAACUCCCUCAUGGGGCUCGCCAUAUGCAAGAUGUUGGCGUUACCCAACACAUUUGAAAUUAAGGUUUCAAAAUUAUGAUUUUUCAUGUUUGCAAUUUGUUAGGAUCAAGCCUAGCCUUACUAUCGUGUCAAAACAUAUGACUGGUAGCAAAACACAAACUUUAUUUUUUAACUAAGGUGACCAAGUAAAGUAAGCGUCACGUUCCAUCCGGGCAACCUAGUCGCUCGUGCCCCCUGCCAUAUGCAGGAUGUUGGAAUUAAGAGUUAAAAAUUGCGAAAUUUCACAUCAAUUUAUCUGUCUAAAAUAACCUAUAGAACUAACAUUCAUUCGCCUCUGCCUUAUUUGUUUUUGUGUUGUUAAUUCCUUUAUUUACUAUUACCACUAUGGUUCUAUUGAUUCGUGGAACACGAACUAUUGGUAUAAACAGUUUAAGGGUGAUUUAAAGAAAGCAGCGGAGUACGGCGGAAGAGCAAUUUUAGCAAGUCCUAAUGAUGGUAAUGCGUUGUCAUUCUACGCUGAUCUGAUAUGGCAAACCCAGAAAGACGCAGCUCAUGCCAACACUUACUUUGAUCGAGCCGUGAAAUCUGACCCCGAUGACUGGUAUGCGUAUGCUCUGCAUCUCCUGUUUUAGAUUUGAAAUCUUUAAGUGGAACCUCCAAUUGAAUCCACGGGCCACUUUUUUUGUGCUAUUUGUCCACUCUCUUGGAAAUAUCUUGGUCGUCCAUUUGCCCGCACCAUCACAUAAUUGUGACCAUUUAUUUAAUAUAAGCUUAAGCAUUUUGGAAGAUACACUCUUAUUUAUUUAGCGGAAAAGGCUUAAAAAUACCUCUGAACUAUUUGAAAUAGCUUAAAAAUGCCCAUCAUUAGAUUUUUGGCUCAAAAAUACCCUUUCGUUAAAUAUUUGGCUAAAAAAUACCCCUUCCUUUAACGGAAUUCGGAAAAGGAUCAAAAAUACCCCUGAACUAUCUGAAAUGGGUCAAAAAUAUCCCUCUGUUAAAUAUUUGACUCAAAAAUACCUCCCUCUUAACAAAAUUAAAUUAUUUCAAUUAUUUCGUUAAUUUAUAUAAAGUUCAUCAUUUAAUUUAUAUUUCAGUAAUUUUUUAAGUGAAAAUUUAUAUUUCGUUAAUUUUCUUAAAGAUUAAAAAGAUGUAAAGUGAAAAUACCUUUUUAGAAUAAAUGUAUGUUUAUUUUUCAAAUCAAAUUCAAUCAAUUUAUAUUAUAAUUCAAAUGCUUUUUUUCAUUAUCUUAUUUUAAAAUUAAAAAAAUGCUUUUAUGUAAAAAAAUUAAAGUAUUAGGAUUAAAAAGUUAAAGUUAGGGUUUAAUUCAAUCGAAAUAAUUUAAUUUCGUUAAAGGGAGUAUUUUUGAACCAAAUAUUUAACAGAGGGGUAUUUUUGACCCAUUUCAGAUAGUUCAGACGUAUUUUUGAUUCUUUUUCGAAUUCCGUUAAAGGGAGGGGUAUUUUUUAGCCAAAUAUUUAACGAAAGGGUAUUUUUGAGUCAAAAAUCUAACGAGGAGCAUUUUUGAGCUAUUUCAGAUAAUUCAGGGUAUUUUGAAGUUUUUUCCAUUUAUUUAGUUAUAUCUUUCAACAUGUACCUCCCAUGUGAUUCUGAUUCUUUUUUCAUGGUCAUGAGCUCUUGCCUACUUAUGCUAAUUAGGCUCAAGAUUUAUUUCUUUAAUAUGAUAUCGGAGAAGGCAGAAAUGCUACUUCCCCUCAUUAUUUAAAAAUUUUAUUCAUGUUAGGCCAUGAAAAAGGAAUCAGACUCACACGUGUUAGGUUAAGCUUUUUAUUGAGAUGGUCAUAUACUUCCUGUUAAGAUUGUGGUGCGUGCUUUGUUUGUAUUUUAACGAGGCGAAUUGGUGUUAUGUCAUUAUUGCAGCUACGUACUAGCCUCAUAUGCUCGAUUCCUGUGGAAUGCUAAAGAAGAAGAUUUGAACGAGGCCGAGGAAGAAAAACUGAGUAAGCAAUUUGGUAUGCAGAAUGAGAAUUCAGCACCAGCCCCAAACUUCUUUAGCGCAUCCUCUCAUCGACCUCCCAUGACUGCUACUUCUUAAUUUAAUAAUAGCCUUUUCCAAUGUUAAUCAGACCUCUGCGCACAUAGUUUAGAUAACUAAUAAGCGUUCCUAGUAUAUAAAUAGCUAAGAAAUAGAGUUGCUCUCGACUAUGAAGAGUUUUCUUUCUGUCUCUUUUACAAGUACUAAUAAAACUUUGUAAUUUUGUGAUGUCUGAUAACCGGUAAUAUCAUUUGUACACUGAGUUGCUUCUCAAUAAAAGUUGUUUUUUAGUAUGAUGAGUGCUUCUAAUUUCCCCAAAACUAAAGUGUCAGGGUGUUCACUUGUAUAGCACAUUUCAGGGGAUUAAACUCCUCUUUAGAAUUUUUUGUUGUUGAUAACAGUGAGCUUAGCUGCACACGGGCAAUGAGUAACUCCUAUCUCCACUCCAUCGUUUGAAUGCGUCCCAUUGGAAGUUCAAUGAACUAAUAAUAUGUUUGGUUAACCUUAGACGAACUACACUGCUGUUUUCUUUCCUCCAAAUUGGUAAAACUCUUAUCAGACGUAGAAGCACUAUGAGCAACUAAAGAAAUCUCGUAUAUUGGAAGGAUGUAUAUCAUCUCUGAUUCCAAUCAUUGACGAACUUUACAAAUGCAUUUGUUUAGUUUCUUAAUAGGAUAAAUUAUUAUAGGCCCAUCAAUUAGACUGCUCUUUUACGUUUGGGCCAUUCUAUUGGGCUUCUAUUUCAUGGUAACCCGUGCUAAAACUAGCCCAAUAUAGACCUGGGCUACCACCAUAUUCUCGGAAGUGUUCAAUUCAGUUGAAUAAUGAGAAAAUCAUUAAUUACCAGAACUAUUUCCUUAUUCCGUUUUUCUUACAAGGUAAAUAAUUAAGAGAAUUAAACUAACCCCAAAACAGUUGAAAAGGGAAAUCUCCACCAAAGUAUUAUGCACUCUAGUAAUGGAAAUGUAAUCUUUUUGGUAAAGGAAAGAAGGAGUUAUUUGUUGUUUUAGAUCCGAGGCUCUAUCAAGAAGCCUAUUGGGAGAGACUACGGAGGGAGUGGUAGAAUAUGUAUAGCAAUUUUUUGUAUUUUUCAUGUUUUGUGUACUUUGACUACAAAAAUGGAGAUUUGCGUAAGAAAGAUGAGUUGCGAUUCCGGACCCGAAAAUGCAUGUUUAAAUUGAGUUAAUUAGCAUUUUGAGGAACGUUAUCCAAACAAACAGCAAGGCGUGGCACGAGAUCUGUGCUCAUGUUUAACAGGACCACAACAGCAAGGCGGUGCGUCUCUUUCACCGACAAAUCUAACGGUUACUAUUUCGCUGUGAAUUUAACACUCCCAUGUAAAGCGUGAUCUAUUGAUUGACAUAUAGUGCGCGUCGUUUCAUUAGGAAAUUCACCCAGCAGACGCCACGUCUCCAGCUCAUAAAUUAAAAUAUUAUUCACUGAAAAGCUUUUAAUGGACGAAUCUUAUCCGUCAAAUUUGACACAUGUAAUAUCAAGAUUGCAGAUUGCAGAGAUAAAGAUGUCCUGGGUAGCUUGUUAUGGGGGCACGUGUGAUUAAUUCGUUGCGUGUUUGAGUCGGUUGCGUACAUUUUGGGCGGCUUUAAGUAUCCCAGCUAGCUUGUGUUAGUCUUUUUAUCUUUUCUGAUGCAAAAACAGAGCUGAAUUUGGCUGAAACAGUGCAAGUAUAGUUUUUGAGUUUGAUCUUUGGAAGUAGAGAGUAAUGGAGAAGAAUCAAGUUUUGCCAGUUGAGCUUCCUGCACCUCCGUCUUGGAAGAAGCUGGUAUUUUUCUUUCUUUGACGAAAUGAUUCUAGUGUUGUUCCUUUUGCUUUAGCAGUCUAUGUUGGUUUCUUUACUGCGAUUUCAUCUUUGAUUCUAAUCUUUUGCUUGUCUUGAAUAUGCUGUACUGUUCUGUAUAUCGCCUCAAUUUGUUUCUUAUGGCUUUCAGUUUGUCUAUUUCUGUUUAUUUCGCUGUAUUUCAGAUGCUUGUCCCACUUUUUACCCCUUUUUUCCGUGACUGUAGCUUCCCGUCGAGUAAUUUCUGCUAGUUUUUAGCUUUUAUGUUUUUUUUACUUCAUUUAAUAUGGUGUACCAGAUAUAAGUGAGUUUUCUCUUGGUUGGAUUUGGGAAAGAUGGGAGUUGGUGAUCUGUUUAACAAGCAAGAUUAAGGCAACAGAGUUUUAAAGUUUUUUUUUUCCUUAUCAUCUGAUUGUUGAGAUUGUCGAAGUCUUGAAUAGUUUACUGGAGAACCGUAAAGAAAAAAUCUUGCUGGUCAAAUUUUUUUGGUUAUGUAUCAGCAGCUGAUUUGUAAUGUUGUAAAGGCAAGAAAAUCGUCUGAGCUCUUUGCAGAAAUUCCUGUCUUCCUAGUCACGAGAACCUUACCCUGAAGUGUGGGUGACAAUAUAGUGAAAUUAACGACAAUACAAUAAUUAUAACAUGAAUAAUAACUAAGCUAUUUUGGUGCUGUGUUUAAUUGGUCUGUUCAGGUGCUAGAUAUCUGUAUCCGUGUUUUGAGUAUUUUGUUAGUGAUGAGUGAGGAGUUCUGUAUCGCUUCCUACUUGUACCUCCCUGGGUGGUUGAGUUCUGUAUCCUUUGAGGUAGCAGAGAGGUUCUUUGGAAAAAAUAGAUAGCCUGACAAGGGAAUAACCGUUGUAUUGCGUAGUUGGGCACGCUUUCAUUUUUUCCUCUUUACCUGUUGAUUUGCAGGCCAUGCCGAAAAAGAGUGUGAGAGCGAAGAAGAAUGAGAUUGUAUUUGUUGCUCCAACAGGUGAGGAAAUCAGGAAUCGCAGGCAGUUGGAGAAGUACCUGAAAACACACGAUGGAAGUCCUGGUAUAUCAGAAUUUGAUUGGACUACUGGUGAGGCUCCAAGGAGAUCAGCACGGAUCAGUGAGAAGGUUAAGGCAAUGCCACCUGUGGCUGUGCUUGAGCCGACAAUGAAACGACGCCGUACAGCUACAAAAAAAGAUGAGGAUGUCGCAAGUGUAGAGAAGGAAAACAUGGGCAAGAAAGACAUGGAACCUGCCAUAGAAAAUAAGGAAGGUUUGGAGGAGGAGGAGAAUGAUGUAGAAGAUGAAGUGGUUGACAAGGGGAAGGACGAACAGACAGCCAAGGAAGUAGAAACAGAGUACAUAAAAGAAUUAGAGAUGUUUGAUGGAGAGGCUCCGAAGAGGCAGAAAUAUAAGGCCUGCAAUGACCCUCAAUCUGAGGAUGGGGGCAAACUAGCGGAAAACGUCACACAGGAGACUGCUGUAGAAGUUGAAAUGGAGAACAAGGAGGACGAGAUGGGGGCUAUUAAGGGAACUGCAGACCAUAAAAAAGAAAAGGAAAUGUCUGAUAGAGAGGUUUCAGAGAGAAAAAUUGAGGCCAGCAAUGACCCUCAAUCUGAGGAUGGGGGCAAACUGACGGAAAAUGUCGCGCGCGAGACUGCUGCAGAGGUUGAAAUGGAGAACACGGAGCACGAGAUGGGGGCUAAUAAGGAAGCUGCAGACCACAAAAAAGGAGAGGAAAUGUCUGAUAGAGAGGUUUCAGAGAGGAAAAUUGAGGCCAGCAAUGAAACUCAGUCUCAGGUUGAGGAUGGAGGUGAAAUGGCUGAAAAUGGUAGAGGGGUGACGAUCGCAAUUGAUGCCAACAUCUGGAAUGAUUCGAUGGGACAGGACUAUUUCAUGGGAAUGUUUCCAGAUGCUGUAAUUGAAGAAACAAAUGUUGCUGAAGCAGGAGCAGAAGUUGGG
rnacentral:lncRNA from 1 species